rnacentral:rRNA from 1 species
AUUGAACGCUGGCGGAAUGCUUUACACAUGCAAGUCGAACGGCAGCACGGGGGCAACCCUGGUGGCGAGUGGCGAACGGGUGAGUAAUACAUCGGAACGUGCCCGGUCGUGGGGGAUAACGUAGCGAAAGUUACGCUAAUACCGCAUACGAUCUGAGGAUGAAAGCGGGGGACCUUCGGACCUCGCGCGAUCGGAGCGGCCGAUGUCAGAUUAGGUAGUUGGUGGGGUAAAGGCCUACCAAGCCGACGAUCUGUAGCUGGUCUGAGAGGACGACCAGCCACACUGGGACUGAGACACGGCCCAGACUCCUAGGGGAGGCAGCAGUGGGGAAUUUUGGACAAUGGGCGAAAGCCUGACCCAGCCAUUCCGCGGGCAGGACGAAGGCCUGCGGGUUGUAAACUGCUUUUGUAUGGAACGAAAAGGCUCUGGCUAAUACCUGGGGCUCAGGACGGUACCGUAAGAAUAGGCACGGGCAAACUACGU